GGCUGUGGCUCAGGAGUAGAGCACAUGCCUGGCAUGCAGAAGGUCCCAGGUUCAAUCCCCAGAAUCUCCA